rnacentral:rRNA from 1 species
CACGUAGGGCGCAAGCGUUGUCCGGAAUUAUUGGGCGUAAAGAGCUCGUAGGCGGUCUGUUGCGUCCGCUGUGAAAACUCGGGGCUUAACCCCGAGCCUGCAGUGGAUACGGGCAGACUAGAGGUAGGUAGGGGAGAAUGGAAUUCCCGGUGUAGCGGUGAAAUGCGUAGAUAUCUGGAGGAAUACCGGUGGCGAAGGCGGCAUCCUGGACCGGCAUUGACGCUGAUGAGCGAAAAGCUAAGGGGAGCAAACGGGG